rnacentral:rRNA from 1 species
CGGGACACGUGGUAUCCUGUCUGAAUAUGGGGGGACCAUCCUCCAAGGCUAAAUACUCCUGACUGACCGAUAGUGAACCAGUACCGUGAGGGAAAGGCGAAAAGAACCCCGGCGAGGGGAGUGAAAAAGAACCUGAAACCGUGUACGUACAAGCAGUGGGAGCCUCUUAAUGGGGUGACUGCGUACCUUUUGUAUAAUGGGUCAGCGACUUAUAUUCUGUAGCAAGGUUAACCGAAUAGGGGAGCCGAAGGGAAACCGAGUCUUAACUGGGCGUUAAGUUGCAGGGUAUAGACCCGAAACCCGGUGAUCUAGCCAUGGGCAGGUUGAAGGUUGGGUAACACUAACUGGAGGACCGAACCGACUAAUGUUGAAAAAUUAGCGGAUGACUUGUGGCUGGGGGUGAAAGGCCAAUCAAACCGGGAGAUAGCUGGUUCUCCCCGAAAGCUAUUUAGGUAGCGCCUCGUGAAUUCAUCUCCGGGGGUAGAGCACUGUUUCGGCAAGGGGGUCAUCCCGACUUACCAACCCGAUGCAAACUGCGAAUACCGGAGAAUGUUAUCACGGGAGACACACGGCGGGUGCUAACGUCCGUCGUGAAGAGGGAAACAACCCAGACCGCCAGCUAAGGUCCCAAAGUCAUGGUUAAGUGGGAAACGAUGUGGGAAGGCCCAGACAGCCAGGAUGUUGGCUUAGAAGCAGCCAUCAUUUAAAGAAAGCGUAAUAGCUCACUGGUCGAGUCGGCCUGCGCGGAAGAUGUAACGGGGCUAAACCAUGCACCGAAGCUGCGGCAGCGACGCUUAUGCGUUGUUGGGUAGGGGAGCGUUCUGUAAGCCUGCGAAGGUGUACUGUGAGGUAUGCUGGAGGUAUCAGAAGUGCGAAUGCUGACAUAAGUAACGAUAAAGCGGGUGAAAAGCCCGCUCGCCGGAAGACCAAGGGUUCCUGUCCAACGUUAAUCGGGGCAGGGUGAGUCGACCCCUAAGGCGAGGCCGAAAGGCGUAGUCGAUGGGAAACAGGUUAAUAUUCCUGUACUUGGUGUUACUGCGAAGGGGGGACGGAGAAGGCUAUGUUGGCCGGGCGACGGUUGUCCCGGUUUAAGCGUGUAGGCUGGUUUUCCAGGCAAAUCCGGAAAAUCAAGGCUGAGGCGUGAUGACGAGGCACUACGGUGCUGAAGCAACAAAUGCCCUGCUUCCAGGAAAAGCCUCUAAGCAUCAGGUAACAUCAAAUCGUACCCCAAACCGACACAGGUGGUCAGGUAGAGAAUACCAAGGCGCUUGAGAGAACUCGGGUGAAGGAACUAGGCAAAAUGGUGCCGUAACUUCGGGAGAAGGCACGC